GAUAGUUGGACAAAGGCCGGGGAUGAAAAGACAGAAGAUGUGAGGCAAAAGGAUGGAUGAGUUGCUUUGAUAUCUGAUUUUUCUCUCAUGUUUGUCUUUUACAUUGUGGGGGAAGUGAUUCUCAUGGGUUCAGAUAAAGGCAUCAGAAUUCAAGGCACAUUGCCUCAGCCUACCCAGGGUUCAUGUUUUGAACUUAAAAGCCUUAUGAUACUCCAGCUGGAGAGAGUGAUCUUAUACCCUCACACAUGCUAAAGCUGUCGCUGUGCAAUGUUUUCACAAUGUAAAUAUUUUGGCCUUGCAUCCUUUGAGCAGAGGCUCAGAGCUGCCUUGUGAACUAUGUGUUGAUACAUGUCUUUGUUUUCAUUUCCCUAUCGGCAAUUAUCAGGAACUUGAUUUUAACUCUUUUCAGCACACUAAACACAUUUAGCCGUAUUCUACAUUGCAAAGUUAGACUUUCCUUAAACUCACCUUAAACCUGCCGCUUGGUCUAACUAAACCCAACACUCGGUUUAAGAAAAAUUUGGUAUUCUGAUAGCGAGGUUUAGUUAGACUAAAGUCUAAGGCGAGUCUAACUUUAGACUUUGGUUUUAGCUGAAUCUAGUAAGACAGCGUUUUAGUUGCCAUGGUGACGAUGUCUGCUUGUAUUGCACAUGUGCAAUGCAAUAGCAGAAGCACGAGCAGACGACAAGUUCAACAUGGCUGACAAAAAAGACAGCGGCAAGGAAACUGGGACGCCAGCGAGAAAGAAUUUCUCCUGACGUUACUAGCUGAUAAAAUUACAUUUAUCGAGAAAAAAAGGUGCAAUUUCCAGGCAACAAUUGAAAAGAACAAGGUAUGGGAUGCGAUUUAUUCGCAAUUCCAGUCGCGGUUUGGCAGCCGCAGAGAUCUUCGGGACCUUCGUGAGCAAUGGAAGAGAAUUCAAGUUGCAAGCGAAGGUAGAGUGUCUUCUCACAAGAAGAGCGUGGGGCAAACGGGUGGAGUCCCACCAUCUCCCAACCCAACACCCAUGUGUAUGCUUAUCAGGGAUCCGAUCACCCACGAUUUCUUACAGAUCAGAAAUCCGUUCGAUGAUGAUGCGGACAUUUCACAGCAAAAUGAGGAGGCUGUGACAGUUUUGGAGUUCCUGACUGGUGCCGGAGAGGCAAACAAGUAAGUGAUAAUGUCUAAAUUUAGGUUACCGUGAGUGAUGUUGUCUCGUGUUUAAUGUAAAGUGGUCCGUAAUUAUAUUAUUCCCUGGCGAGGACGUGACUAUUCUCCGAGUCGUGUCCUCGCCCCCCUCCUCGCAGCCUACUACCUGGAUUGGAGCGGCCUUUCCUGCCGGGGACCCGGAUACAUCGUGGAGCGGGUGAUGGCUUACCUGGAUCGCCUUGGAAGCUCUGGAGUGUUGAGCCUGCUGCAUCUGAAUCGGAGCUGUGGUCAACAGAGCUUCCAACAUCACCUUCGCCGAGGGCCGCCAGCGUUGAAUCUCCACCCAGCGCGGCCUGUUGUCCUCGGAAGCCACGGACUCUGGUAGGAGGCGGCCAACUCGGAUGCCCAAGCCGCGGAAAUGUGGUAAAAAGAAUGUGAUGUGACAAAAUAUUGGUGGAAUAGGUGGGCCACUACUGUCAUCCAUCCCAAGGCCCUGUGUGGCAAAGCAUAUAGGCCUUAUUUUUCUUAACAGUGAAACAACAUAGUUCAGUCAGUGAGCAUUUGCUUUUCUUGAUCUUUUCCAAAACCAACAAGUCUGAAGAACGUGAAGGAACACAAGAGUUUGACAUCCCAAACCCACCCGAGGAAGAUUUUCAACUGUUGGAACCAGCUCAUGUCGAAAACACCACAUCAGAAAACAUCCCACAACCAAGUACUAGUUUUUCUUCCUUGAGUGCACAUACACCUACAGUUCCUGCUGAAAGGUUGUCAACCACCAAACGACGCCUCGCCAGGACCCCUUCUCCAGCACCACCAACCAAAUGACCGGAGAUGAAGUUGCGAGAAUAUGCCGAGAAAGAGCACCAUCUGAAAAUGGCCCAUCUUGAAGAAGAACAUAUUAUGCAAAAGCAAGUGAUUGAGCUAAUAAAACAAUACCAGGUGUCAAGUCCAGUUUGAAGUGAAGAGUUCAGUGAUUGAUGAGAUGAAGAAAUCAAGUUAAUUCAUAAUAGGUUGAAUUUACAAAAGUGUAUUCACGGAAAUAGUGAUCCAAUUGUGUAACUUCUAUUGUGUAAAUAGUUGAAUUGAGUGUAUGGAAUUAUUUGUGUUUUUAAAGGGUAACUAUAGAAAUAUUUAAAUAGUACUUAAAUAGAAUACAUUUAAGAGCUGCUCUAAAACGUGGUAUGAAUUGUUGUAUCCAGAUACUACUGCUGACUUCAAUAAAAAAUGUUCUGUUUAUUGUUCUGACUAUGAUUGUAGCAAUGUAAAGAAACCCACAACCUCUACAGUUGUGAGUAGCAAGAGGUUGAUUAAAGAAAGAGGGAGAGAUACAGAGGGACAAUGAGCUUUGGAAAGGUAAACUCCACAGUUCAGGGCCCUUGCAGCUGAAAGCUGGUACUGAGUUCAGCUUGCUUCUUCCAUUCAUGAAUGGGGACUUCAUUCAACUUCUCUCAACAAUGCCACCCAUGCAAGGACAUGAAUGCUUUCUGUUCACCAAACCCAAUGAUGAAUUGACCGAGCAGCACUCAACUCACCUGGUUGUGAAAAGAAAGUUCUGUCUUCUUUAAUCCCAUUUAUAGUUGGAGAGAUUUGAUGGUUCUUCCGCUUUAUGAAUGAAACAAAUCCCUCUACUCCCUUUACAUGUUAUUUUCAUUCAUGAACAGACAUUAUCAAUACUGCUUUCUGUUCUCAUAUACUUGUGCUAAACCUAGUGGUGCAAACAUUAAAAUUAUACAAAGAAGAACUUCAUCAUACCUUACUUUUGGCGCAUUCCAAACAAUAAUUCUGAAGUGACUAGAGUAAGGCCUAAUCUCUAAUUACAGCUAUCUCCUUCUUUAAAAAGUUGUCAUCAGGGGAGUCUGUACAAAGUUUCCUUCCCCUGUUUAAGACAUUGAAAGGCAGGGGAGAAUUGCUGGGGCUAUUCAAUAUGUGCACCGUCCUACAUGUACAAUACUUAAAUAUCACAGGAUACCAUUUCCUUUACAAUGUUCUGUUUUCUUGUGAGAAAAAACUUUUAAUGUUGGAUUGUGGGACCAAACAAUGGAAAAUGUAGAAAGAAAAACUAAAGGCAAACUUACUGUUUCAAUGUGUCUUGGUAUUUCUUACGGUCAGUAGUGAGAUAUUGGGCCAAGAACUGAAAGGGAUACUCCCACAUGUAACUAAUAGGUUGAUACCAGUUGAAUCUCUGACUGGAGACUGUAAAGAGCCAGCCCCAUUAAGGUUUGCGGCAGCUGUCAGAUUCACUCUGCAGGCAAAGCUUUGCAGUUACUUUGUUCCUUCAGCCUAAACCUUUAUCUGACUUAUCUUUCAUUAAGAGCCAAGAAGCAGGCCCAAUAAACAAGCAGCAAAGGAUAUGACCUCCACUUCUCUCUUUUCUUAACAACAGCUGCUUAAUACAUAACAACACAAAUCUCCAUUAUCAGAAUGAAGUUGUCUCUCUUUGAAAUGAAUUGAACAUUAGGAAAACCAGCUGGUAUGUGAUCUAAUUGUCAGUUGCUAAAUCACCUUGUGCUGCACCAUUGGCAUUGAUUCUCUUCAAUUAUAAGAAAAAAACCAUGCAUAACAUUUCAGUGCUUUGAGUGGCAAAUUGAGGCAGGAAAUAUGAUGAGGCACAAAUCAAAGUCUGAGUGGAAAUUAAAGU